CGCAUCAGAACGUCCUCGAAGGAGCCCAGCAGUUCCGGCCGCUCAUGCUGCAGCCGGGUCCAGAGCGUCCGAAUUGCCCGCUGCCUGGAGGGGGCGGGUAGGGGCUGAAGCCGAAGUGAGGACUCCCCCACCCUGAAGGGGAUGUGCCUGUGCUGGGUGUAGCCAUGACUGCUGACUCCAGAAAUGCAAAUUCUGUGGGAAAUCACGUCCGGCCCACAGUAGUGGCAGCUGAGAGGGCCGGACCCAGUCUGGCCGAGGGUCCCUGCCUGGAAACAAGUGUGCAGGCGACGUGGACAGGCCGCGCGCAGGUGGACCAAGCAGUGGAGGGUGCUGCGGUCAAGCCAACAUGGACUUACUCGCCCAGGACCCGGGCCACCCCCAGCUGCUCCAGCGUCGAGCAGAGCAGCUCCUCGUCCUCCUCCACGGAGCCCCCGGCGCCUUGCACAUCCGACCAACCCGACUCAAAGGUCUCCUCUGGAGCCUGGGAGGGGGUGGGCUCCACCCCCACGAACUUGCCUGCAGGCGUGGGAGGGAGAGACUGUCACCCCCCACAGCUCAGCCCACCGCCCCCUCACAUAUCCUGCCCAUUCUCU